GAGUGAAAUGAUGGCAUUUCAUUUUUUGGUACAGACCUGAUGAUGGUGAAUGCUUUUUAGACUGAUCACUC